rnacentral:tRNA from 1 species
GCCGGAGUGGCGGAAUUGGCAGACGCGCUGGAUUCAAAAUCCAGUGCCCGCAAGGGCGUGUGGGUUCGAGUCCCACCUCUGGUA